UAGGGAAUCUUCCACAAUGGACGCAAGUCUGAUGGAGCAACGCCGCGUGAGUGAAGAAGGUUUUCGGACCGUAAAGCUCUGUUGUUGGUGAAGAAGGAUAGAGGUAGUAACUGGCCUUUAUUUGACGGUAAUCAACCAGAAAGUCACGGCUAACUACGUGCCAGCAGCCGCGGUAAUACGUAGGUGGCAAGCGUUGUCCGGAUUUAUUGGGCGUAAAGCGAGCGCAGGCGGAAGAAUAAGUCUGAUGUGAAAGCCCUCGGCUUAACCGAGGAAUUGCAUCGGAAACUGUUUUCUUGAGUGCAGAAGAGGAGAGUAGAACUCCAUGUGUAGCGGUGGAAUGCGUAGAUAUAUGGAAGAAUACCAGUGGCGAAGGCGGCUCUCUGGUCUGCAACUGACGCUGGAGGCUACGAAAGCAUGGGUAGCGAACAGGAUUAGAUACCCUGGUAGUCCAUGCCGUAAACGAUGAGUGCUAAGUGUUGGGAGGCUUCCGCCUCUCAGUGCUGCAGCUAACGCAUUAAGCACUCCGCCUGGGGGAGUACGACCGCAAGGUUGAAAC
rnacentral:rRNA from 1 species